rfam:Pseudomonas hussainii strain JCM 19513 genome assembly, contig: Ga0104663_111
AGGUUAAGCGGCAUGGAUGCCGCGCAAAGCCCUAUGGGCCAUGGAUGGCCCAUAGGGCUGGGCCU